rnacentral:lncRNA from 11 species
CAAGUUUCAGCUAUUUAAGCUAAAGCAGGAAUUUCUGGGCAGCAUGCACUGGCAUUCACCUUGUCCUAAAAUAGAUGAGGUUCCUGUAGUUCUCCAGUUUAUUGUUAUGCUGGAUUGUGGCCAGAUGAUAAGUAUCUUUACGCAAGACAUCUUACCAGAAAUAUACCUGACAUGGUGCCAUCAAUUUUGGCUUGUUAGUGGAAAUGAAAAAGUGCUUGUCAGCUAGAUUGCCC